CCUCAGCCUUCCCUCAGCUCCCCUCUCUGGAUAAUCAACAUAUGUUAUUUUCUGCAUGUUACAAUACUGUACAGAUUUUUAAUUUUCUAUCUAAAUGUUAUCAAUAAAAAGUUUGUAAAAGUUUAUUCAAAACCUGCCAAGGAGUCCAGUUCAUUUUGUUGCUUCUUUAUGUACUUUGUAAAGGGUUCCCAUUCAUCUUUAAAAUCACAGUUAUCCUUGUCACGUAGUUUGUGUCUCAAUUUUGCCAAUUCUGCGUAAUCCAUCAAUUUUUCCAUCAAUCCCUAACAAAAAUGCCUUAGGUUUUUAAACAAAUUUUAAUUGGAACAUUUUCUUCAACUCACUAUAUAUCAUUUCCCCAAACUUUUUGAUUUCAUUACAAUCCCACCACAUAUAGUAAAAGUCCUGUCUCUUUCGUUACACUUCCAAAACAUAUUUGAGCUGGUUUUGUUAAUUCUUCCUAACUGCACUGGUGUCAUAUAGCAUCUAUGCAUCAUCUUCAUAUAAUUUUCUUUCAGCAAGGAACACUCUGUGAAUUUUAAAUCGGUUUUCCAUAACCUUUCCCAAUCUUCCACAAUAAUAUUAUGACCCAUAUCUUGUGCCCAUUUAAUCAUAACUGAUUUCACCUCUUCGUCUUUCGUCUCCCAUUCUAACAGAAUACCGUAUGUGCCUUUCAGCAGUUGGAAUCUAAGUCUCUCCUGUAUUUGUCAAAGGACUCUCUGAAAUUCUGAUAUUAGCCUGUAUCUCCUUUUCGUGUAUGUAAAGGAAAUGCCCUCUGGGAAUUCCCAUUUAUAUCUGAUGUCAGCUCUUCUGAGUGCUAUUGUUAAAUAUCUAUAUUUGGUUCUUCUAAGUCUCAAUUUCAGUGGAAUCUCGCUAAAGAUAUCUACUUUCUGUCCGGAAACCACAAGAUUUUUUUCAAAAACUGUUCUGAAGGAUAGCAUCCUUCACUCUUUUUGUUACUACUGUUAAUCAAACAUCUCCUGGCUGCCUCCGUUCUCAAUUUUCACGCAAUUUAAUUCUGAAACAGCUCUCUGAAAGCCCAUCCAACCAAUCUUUGCUUUCUCCCAGCCAUUCUGAAAUUGUCUGUGUGACAUAUGUCUCCAAAUUUGGCUCUGAAUCAGAUUCUGGAAGGCCUCUGUCAGGUAGACGUUAACUUAUUACUUCAGCUAAAUGUCACAGGAUUAAACAAGGUACUACAGUGGUACCUUGCGUUACAAACGCUUCAGGUUACAUACGUUUCAGGUUACAGACUCUGCUACCACAGAAAUAGUGAGCGAGGGGCCACUUUUCCUCGGUUCCCCUCUCUCUUAGCAGUCCCUCUCCCGAGGUAUUUUCCUUUGUAUGCCAGACCCAGGGGAUCCUCUGAGUCCUAUUUACUGACACAGAAAUCUCCUUUCCUAGAAAAUCUCUCCCCCCCUUUGUAUGCCAGACCCAGGGGAUCAUCUGAGUCCUUUUUACUGACUCAGAAAUCUCCUUUUCCUAGAAAAUCUCUCCUCCCAAAUGGAAGGAGACCCCAGAAGAAGAGUCUUCCCACAGCUUCUAUUCCAGAUUAAGUCCCAUCUGAACACUCUCUCCAGACCCUCAACAUGGUCUUCCUAUCUCAGCUACGACUGUUAAUAGAGCAUGAGCUGCCUCACUUCAUGAAAUUAAAACCUCGCUCCUUCAAAGUAUUAGAGUUCUAAGACUGUGAUAAAAAUGAAAGAAGAGCAAAGGGAGAACAAUAUCGUGGUUCUCAAAUGAUGGAUAACAUAGGUUUCUACAGGAGAAAGAAAAUAAAAUGAUAAUUAUUAUUAAUAUUUAUUAUUUAUACCUCGCCCAUCUGGCUGGGCUUCCCCAGCCACUCUGGGCGGCUUCAAAUAAAAUAUUAAAAUACUAAUACAUCAAAAAUUAGAAGCUUCCCUAAACAGGGCUGCCUUCAGAUGUCUUCUAAAAGUCUGGUAGUUGUUCUCUUUGACAUCUGGUGGGAGGGUGUUCCACAGGGAGGGCGCCACUACCGAGAAGGCCGUCUGGCUGGUUCCCUGUAACUUAGCUUCUCGCAGUGAGCUAACCUCCAGAAGGCCCUCUGAGCUGGACCUCAGUGUCUGGGUAGAACUUCAAAGGUAGCCCCAUGUAGAGCGCAUUGCAGCAGUCCAAGCGGGAGAUGAGCAGAGCAUGCACCAAUCUGGCGAGGCAGUCCGCAGGCAGAUAGGGUUUCAGCCUGCGUGCCAGAUGGAGCUGGGAAACAGCUGCCCUGGACACAGAUUUGACCUGUGCCUCCAUGGACCGCUGUGAGUCCAAAAUGACUCCCAGGCUGCGCACCUGGUCCUUCAGGGGCACAGUUACCCCAUUCAGGACCAGGGAGUCCUCCAUACCUGCCCCCUCCUGUCCCCCAAAACAGUACUUCUGUCUUGUCAGGAUUCAACCUCAAUCUGUUAGCUGCCAUCCAUCCUCCAACCACCUCGAGACACUCACACAAGACCUUCACCGCCUUCACUGGUUCUGAUUUGAAAGAGAGGUAGAGCUGGGUAUCAUCCACAUACUGAUGAACACCAAGUCCAAACCCCCUGAUGAUCUCUCCCAGCAGCUGCAUGUAGAUGUUGAAAAUAUGGGGGAGAGGAUGGAUCCCUGAGGCGCCCCACAAGUGAGAGCCCAGGGUUCUGAACACUCAUCCCCCCCCCACUUUCUGAACAAAGCCCAGGGGGAAGGAGCGGAACCACUGUAUGACAGUGCCCCCAGCUUCCAGCCCCUCAAGACGGUAAAGAAGGAUGUUAUGGUCGAUGGUAUCAAACGCCGCUGAGAGAUCCAGCAGAACUAGGAAACAGCUCUCACCUUUGUCCCUAGCCCGCCAGAGAUCAACCAGUGCGACCAAGGAAGUUUCAAGUCCCAUGUUGAGGCCUGAAUCCCGUCUGGAAGGGAUCCAAAUGGUCCGCUUCCUCCAGGCGUGCCUGGAGUUGUUCAGCAACCACUCGCUCAAUCACCUUGCCCAAGAAUGGAGGAUAUGAGACUGGGCGAUAGUUGGCCAUCGUGGCCACAUCUAAAGAUGGGUCCGGGAAGGCUCCCUCACAGAGAGAAGCAUUCACCACCCCACAAAGCCCAUCAUCGCCCAGCCCUUCUCGGCUAGCUUUUAUAAGCCAGGAUGGACAAGGAUCAAGGAGACAAGUGGUUGGUUUCAUUCUUCCAAGCAGCCUGUCCACAUCCACGCGGGUAACAGAUUGGAAUUGAUCCCACACAUCUUGACUAGACAGGACUCUAGCACUCUCCCGCCCUGCUCCCAUGGUGGAGUCUACGUCUUCUCGAAUCUGAGCGACUUUGGUCUGCAAAAAACUUUGCAAAAUCAUUGCAGGAGAUCAUGUGGCCUGUACUGGGCCCUAAUGGAGCAGGUGGUACUGCUAAAUUGUGAACCACCUGUAAGAGUCUCCUGCUGUUUUCCCCCCGCAGAUGUAAUAGAGGCAGUGAAGAAAGUCUUUUUGGACGUCGCUAUCACCACUUGGUAGGCUCGACAUUGAGCUCUAACCCGUAUCCGGUCAGCUUCAGAAUGGGUUAUCCGCCACCAGCGCUCUAGCCGUCUCAGCGAUUGUUUCAUCACCCUCAGCUCUGAAGAAAACCACGGGGCUGUCCGGGCUCCAUGCAAUCAGAGAGGGCGCUUCGGAGCCAAACAGUCAAUAGCCCUGGUUAACUCCACAUUUCAGGGCCACCAGGAAUCAGCUGAAAGGCCAUCAACAUGGGAUAAAACAUCCCUACUGCUCUCUGGAAACCAUUUUGAUCCAUUGAGGGGCGGACCAUCUGAAUUGGUCCCACCUCCCUGCAGAGGGGAAGGUUCACGGAGAAGUCCAGUUGCACCAGGAAGUGAUCUGACCAUGGCAAUUCUUUAGUUUCGCUUUUACUUAGUGUCAGAUCACCAACAUCCAUAGAGGUGAACACCAGGUCUAAGGCAUGUCCACGGCUAUGAGUUGGGCCAAACAUAUUCAGGGAAAGCCCCAUGGAGGCCAUGCUUUCCACAAAGUCCCAAGCGGCCCCUUGUAAGGUCAUGUCGGCGUGGAUGUUAAAAUCCCCUAGGAAAACCAAACUAAAUGUCUCCAGGAGAACAUCUGCCACGACCUGGAGCAGCUCAGGCAGGGAAUCCUUGGUGCAGUGCAGAGGUCGGUACACCAAAAGGAAUCCUGUACUGCCCCUAUUGCCCAACUUCCAGAACAUGCACUCAGAGAACUGGGUCUUCCCAAUAGGACGCCUGCUCCACAGGGUUGGACACAUACCAAUGCCUUCAAGUUUUGUUUUUUUAAAAAGACUGACUAAACAUGCGGAAGAACUUUUUGACAGCAAGAGCUAUUAGUGGAUUGGACUCCCUUGGGAGUGCUGGAAUUUCCAUUCUUUGAGGUUUUCAAAUGAAGUUGGAUGGUCAUGUCAUGGAUGUUUUACUUGCUAUGCCAGCAUCACAAGGGGUGAAAUAGAUUGCACCAGGGAUCACUUCAAGCUCAAAAUUCUACAAUUCCGUGAUUCUCCCCUGUAUGAAUUCUUUGAUGGUAAGUGAGACUGGACUUUUGAUUGAAGCUCUUUCCACAUUCCCCACACUGAUAGGGUUUCUCCCCUGUAUGAAUUCUUUGAUGUGAAGUGAGAUUGAAGCUCAUACUGAAGCUCUUUCCACAUUCAAUGCACUCAUAGGGUUUCUUCCCUGUAUGAAUUCUUUGAUGGGAAGUGAGAUUGGAGCUCUGACUGAAGCUCUUUCCACAUUCCACACACUGAUAGGGUUUCUCCCCUGUAUGAAUUCUUUGAUGUUUAGUGAGAUCGAAGCUGCUACUGAAGCUCUUUCCACAUUCAAUGCACUGAUAGGGUUUCCCCCCUGUAUGAAUUCUUUGAUGUUUAGUGAGAUCGAAGCUGCUACUGAAGCUCUUUCCACAUUCAAUGCACUGAUAGGGUUUCUCCCCUGUAUGAAUUCUUUCAUGCUUAGUGAGAGAGGAACUGCUUCUGAAGCUCUUUCCACAUUCCACACACUGAUAGGGUUUCUCCCCUGUAUGAAUUCUUUGAUGGGAAGUGACAUGGGAGCUCAUACUGAAGCUCUUUCCACAUUCC